rnacentral:lncRNA from 1 species
UUUUUACUCAUAUUUUUUAAAACACAACCAUUCCUUUGGUUUAAAAAACAAGGGCACCAUUCUGCUAGGGUUUAUUUAACCGCAACCGCCAAACACCAUCAUAUUCGGUGACUAACAACGCGCAAACAACACUCUGAUCCGGCUAUUGAAGGUGCUCGACCAUGCCUAAAGGGAUUUGGUAAGUGUAUUCUUUCUCCUUUUCUUCUUUAUUUGAAAAAUAACUUCAAAUCUCAUGUUACAAAGAGAGGUUCAUAAAACAAAGAAGAUUUCAACACUAUUUGACCCCUCGCCCAUACCUCUGCAUUUCUGAGGUAUUUGGGCUUUCAUUGGCGUCGACUUAAGUGUCAUUUUUCCUACUAAAAAAAAUCGACCCAAAAAUGAUAAAUCGAAAGAGGGAAAAAAAAAACUUGAAAUCACCUUUGCUAUUUUUUUUGAAUGCUUUUCCUCUAUUCUGUAUGCGUAAGAUUUUCCAGUACAUCCGGUGGCUUUUUAUAGCCGUAUUUUAUAGAAUAAAUAAAUAAAUAAAAAUUACAUUUUUCUAUUGUCAUUAGCUGUAUUCUGUUAGCCUGCUUUCUUCUCAUGUGUUCUUUUGCAGGUUCUAUGGAUGCAAGGCUGUACGGAGAAGAAACCACUCGUGGGGAGGCCGUUCGUAGGAGGCCACUCGUGGGAGCCCGUUUCUGGCCAGCUGCGGCGCUGGUGUUCUAGAAACCUCUAGGGUUUUUGGUACCUUUCCGAUAUUGAACUCAUUUGGGUUUCGGGUUUGGGCCAUUGUAAUUAGGCCUAAGCUUUGGGCGGAUAUGAUUUUAGUAUUGGAUUUACUGAAAAUAGUAAAUGGACUAUUUGGGCUUUUGUAAUCUGUGAACUUUAUUUGGCUUCUAUUUUAAUUUAUGAUUUGGGCUUGGAGGUUUGUAAAGGGACAUUGGACCAUAAAGAAUUAUUAUUUAUUUAUUUUUAGUUUAUCUGUGGUUUUUUUGCGGGCUGGGCAAAUUGGGCCUGCUACAAGUAUCAUAGAGACUUCUAUAAUAGGAGUCAGAUUGUAUUUUGCCUCAUCAAAGAACUGGUCCCUUUGUGUUAAAAAUUUAAUCCAUUUUCAGUUUUAUUCUAUAAUAAGAGUUGUAUUCUUCAACCAACUGCUUUUCAGUUUUCAUUCAGCCAUUGAAUAAUCAGUGAAUUUAGUCUCAUAAAAUGAUUGCGAUUAGGUUGG